AUUGAACGCUGGCGGCAUGCCUUACACAUGCAAGUCGAACGGUAACAGGUUAAGCUGACGAGUGGCGAACGGGUGAGUAAUGUAUCGGAACGUGCCCAGUCGUGGGGGAUAACUGCUCGAAAGAGCAGCUAAUACCGCAUACGACCUGAGGGUGAAAGCGGGGGAUCGCAAGACCUCGCGCGAUUGGAGCGGCGGAUAUCCGAUUAGGUAGUUGGUGGGGUAAGGGCCUACCAAGCCUACGAUCUGUAGCUGGUCUGAGAGGACGACCAGCCACACUGGGACUGAGACACGGCCCAGACUCCUACGGGAGGCAGCAGUGGGGAAUUUUGGACAAUGGACGCGAGUCUGAUCCAGCCAUGCCGCGUGCGGGAAGAAGGCCUUCGGGUUGUAAACCGCUUUUGUCAGGGAAGAAAAGGUUCUGGCUAAUACCUGGGACUCAUGACGGUACCUGAAGAAUAAGCACCGGCUAACUACGUGCCAGCCGCCGCUGUAAAAC
rnacentral:rRNA from 1 species